GAGUAAGUUUCUUUGAUAAAUUUUCUGAAAUUUGGGUUAAAUGUCUCGGAGCUUUUCUCCCAUUCUAUAAAGCUUUAGAAGAACCCCAAUAUACUAAAUCAAAGAUCUAUGAGUCUACUUUUCAACGCACUGAACCAUUUGUCCAUAUGACUUUAGAAUUGAGAGAUAUUAAGAUUUUAGUGAGACUGCACAAGCAGGCACGUGAAGGUGGGUCCCUCACCCCUUUGUCGGUUUAGCUUUAUAAGAUUUGGUUUCACUUCGUUUAAACUCAAUUUUUUCGACCAAGUAAUAAGAAAAACAGUCCUAAAUCCUCUCUAGAGGUUCCCCUAUCACCCAAGCAAAUGUUUACAAGAUUUCAAUGUGGUUUAACUCUCAGAUUGUUCAUAGAGAUUAUGUUACUCUUUCGUCCUCGUUGGUUGUGAUUUGCAGGAUUCUUCAUGGUGAAAGAGUCUUGUUCUUAGGUGGUGUUGCUGCUGUUUGGAGAUUACAUACUCCAAGGAAGGGGUGCAGUCCUCAUUAAUACUACAAGACCCAGAAUUGAGGUCCAGGUAGGGAUUCUAAUUUACCCCUCCACUAGGAUUUGUAUUUAGUUGUGAGUUGGUAAGCUCCACCUCUUCCUGGAGCUUUCAUAUGAUGUUUACUUUUGAUGUACAUUUCGGGUAUAAUCGGGGCCUUGUCUCGACCAGUGCUUCUGACACUCAUAGAGGCUAUUAUGGACAUAAUAUUCUGGGUUUCUUUCUGCCGCUUCCAGUUACCAGCCACGUAGGCUUGGCAUGUAUAGAUAUGUUUGUAUGUGUGUAUGUCCUCAAUUGUGGCCU